CUGAGUCACCGACAAGAAAGCCAAAGCUACUAAGAGGUAAUAAUUUACCCUGUGGUUCCGCGAACGGGUUCGGUUGUUGCGACGCGGCGCCCCCUGGAGUGGCGGAGGUGUUACUGCAACGAGGCCGCUCGUCGGCGCGGCAUCAUCAGAGACCCCCCAGAGACAGGCUCUUCUAAAGUGAAGAAAAACUGUAAUCACACGUUUUUUUGUGUCUUUUUAUGACGCAUAUUGGUUUUUGUGCUUAGCACUUCUUCCUCACAGGUCCAAGGCUGAUGGUUAAAAAUGAGCCCCUUCGUUUGCGUUGUAGUUUGUAGGGGCUUUCUUCGGGGUCUCUCGCCUGCUCAGUCCUAACGCUGUAAAGCGUGGUUAUUGCAAAAGAGAACCGAGUCUCAACUGGCUCACGUAAAGAUUUUUCUGAGAACUCGGAGAUGGAACUCUCACAAACAAAGAGAGGUGCGCAACGGGAUUGCCGUAUGUUGAAUUUUAGUUAUGAUUGUCACCUUUUAGGGAAUGAUUUACAGUGAUUGUUCAGUUUCUGCUUACCAGGAGCACGUGUCUUACCUACUUUACUGUUCAGACACUUAUUUAUAAAUCUUUAUAUUGUUCCAAGGCAACUAGUAUCACACUUUCUCCAAGUUCCAGCAGCACCGAGGGUUUUGUGCCCCAACUAUUAAAGAAACUAGGCUUUGUGUGAGAACAUCCUUAUGGGUAAUAAAGAGAGGGAGAAAAUCAGAAAGACAGAAUGUGAAACCAAAAUGAAAGUCAGUCCAAAGCAUUUUUAACAUGAACAGGGAUGUAGAGUAUGAUCAUAUUGCGGUUUUCCUUGAGUAAAACACUGGUUUACCCCCCCCCCACCCCCAAGCAACCCCACCCCAGGGAGCAGUUUAACCGAUUUCCACGAGUCUCCAGUGUAAGGGAAGCCCACAAUACGCAGACAGCAAAGAUGUGCAAUGGGAUCAUUAUAUGAAGCCAUCACCAGCAGCCUGGUCUUCUGCGAUAUUCCAAGCAGGAGCCCGAGUUUCAAGAGCCCAUUGAGGAGUCCACCAUCCCUGAGGUGGCCUGCAGCAUCAAUGCAGCGUACAGACCUCUUUACUGUGUCUGUACCAUGUUUCGAUGUGCGACUCGCUCUGAACACACUAUUCUUUUCUGUACGUGUAACAGUCAAAGGCAUCUUAUUGAGGACAGUCUUGAGGCCACAGUGUCACCGUACUGUUCCAUGGCCACAUUUCGGAGCACCGUGCAAAGAGAUGGUCUGUUACAGGUCUGUUGUUCUUGUGGUUUCCUCAAUAGCUCUCAACAGCUCUGGCUGAAACCACGGGGAGGAAAAUCACGCUCUCAAAGUACAUCUAUCAUUCUUGGACGAUUCCAGCUUUGUUCCUUUUCAAAUUUCAUUCCUGGACUACUUUAAUGAUAUCCUUCCAAGAACAUGAAUAAAACAAAAGGUACAAGCGACGUGUCA
rnacentral:lncRNA from 1 species